rnacentral:piRNA from 1 species
UGAUCCUCGGGACUUAAAUACAGAA